GACGAACGCUGGCGGCGUGCUUAACACAUGCAAGUCGAGCGGUAAGGCCCUUUCGGGGGUACACGAGCGGCGAACGGGUGAGUAACACGUGGGUGACCUGCCCUCCAGCUCUGGGAUAAGCCUGGGAAACCGGGUCUAAUACUGGAUAUGACUCCAUGACGCAUGUUGGUGGGGUGGAAAGCCUUGUGCGGCUGAGGAUGGGCCCGCGGCCUAUCAGCUUGUUGGUGGGGUGAGGCCUACCAAGGCGACGACGGGUAGCCGGCCUGAGAGGG
rnacentral:rRNA from 1 species